rnacentral:lncRNA from 1 species
AUGUGAUCUGGGGAACAUUACCGACCACAGUUAUGCAUCUAUCACCAUUUGGAUUUGUUACAGCUGUCAAGCUCUGAGAUGACUCAUUACGCUGCUGGGAUCAACCGCCCUAAGGGCAGCACUGACCAUGGGGGACGGAGCUGUGUUGUUCAGCGCCAGAGCUGGAAGAAAACUGUUCACAAGAGAGGCUCACCCUCAGCCCCAACUUCUUCAAAAAGAGUAUGUGGCUUGGGCACCCACCACAUGUAAAAGCGAACCUGAAAGGCAGAAGUGGCUGACAUUCCAGUGCUGGUCUUCAUUUAAACAGAGACUACUAAUUAUGGUAUUAGAAAUCAGAUUUAAAUAAUGAAAUUCUUAUCACAGGGGAGUUAUUCUGAAACAGAAUUUAGCACUUCAUCAGAGAAAGCCUAAUGCAUUAACCCACUAGGCUUCUGAUAUUAGAAUUGUCAUGGAUGUGUCUUAAUGAAACAUACUGUAGUUACUUUUCAUAAAAAAUGAUAGACAAGAUUGUAAUCUAUUUUGGGCAAUGCAAGACUGAUGAGGAAAAAAAUUAAGUAGGAAAAUAUGUCAUUAAGCAAUUUGUUCAUCAAGUUCAGUAUCUUGACACUGCCCAUGACAAGCACCUACUGCUUCAAAGAGAAAAUCCUUCUACAUUUUAUCUAGAUUCUGUGUAUGUAUAAUGAUAAAAACUCCUCCUUGGUUCCUGCAGUUAUUGUAAAGCAUCAGAUUUAAUCAUCCGACUACAAACUUAAUGCAGUUACUUAAAAAUUCCAGCUUAUUCUAUACAUAUUAAACAAUUAUCAUCUUCUAUUAUCCAACAGGAUUUUAAAAGGGGAGUAUUUUUGCUAUAACAUUUUAAACAGAAAAAUAUUCAUAGCUCUUCCAUCAUAAUGCUGCACAUCAAAGCUGAGUUCUGCAGCCAGUUUGCUGAACUCCUCUGUAAUCCUCAACAUGUUACUUGCAUAUAGCAUUUACAGAAUUUUACUUAAUAGGGAGAGAUUAGACAAAGAAAGUGAAUUAUUUGGUUUUUGUUAAGGUUGUUAAACUUUCAGGAACUACAGUUACAAAUUUCAGAAAUAACUGAAUACUUAUGAAAUCAAUAUGUAAUUUGGCAUUUAUUAGAAGACCUUCCUGAAUAUACAACAACAAAACAGCAGCUAGCACUGUGUAUGGACUAAAAGCAUUGAAAGAAAUGUGGAGGUGAAACUAAAACUCAUAUCCGAAGUAUAUUGUUGUUUCAAAACAAAUCUGAAUUUCAUGGCACAAACCUCCUCCCACCACCAAAGACACUCAGCCCUGAAUAUCAAGCGCAUAUGGAAGUCAGCCAAAAUCCAAAUGACAGGCAA